rnacentral:tRNA from 1 species
AGAAGUUUAGGUUAUAUAGACCAAGAGCCUUCAAAGCUCUAAGAAAGUAAACACUGCUUAACUUCUG